rnacentral:rRNA from 1 species
AGUGAACGCUGGCGGUGGGCCUAACACAUGCAAGUCGAACGGCAGCACAGUAAGAGCUUGCUCUUACGGGUGGCGAGUGGCGGACGGGCGAGGAAUACAUCGGAAUCUACUUUUUCGUGGGGGAUAACGUAGGGAAACUUACGCUAAUACCGCAUACGACCUACGGGUGAAAGCAGGGGAUCUUCGGACCUUGCGCGAUUGAAUGAGCCGAUGUCGGAUUAGCUAGUUGGCGGGGUAAAGGCCCACCAAGGCGACGAUCCGUAGCUGGUCUGAGAGGAUGAUCAGCCACACUGGAACUGAGACACGGUCCAGACUCCUACGGGAGGCAGCAGUGGGGAAUAUUGGACAAUGGGCGUAAGCCUGAUCCAGCCAUACCGCGUGGGUGAAGAAGGCCUUCGGGUUGUAAAGCCCUUUUGUUGGGAAAGAAAAGCAGCAGGUUAAUACCCCGCUGUUCUGACGGUACCCAAAGAAUAAGCACCGGCUAACUUCGUG